GUUGGCACAGCACUGAAUUCAAGGCCAGCAUACACUGUGCCAGCUGAUGGCUUUUUUGAGAGCCAGGCUGUUUCUGGAACACAUGAAGAUCCAGAACUUUCACUUUAUAUUAUGAAUAUCAAGUGGUGAGAAUGGCAGUUAGUUGAAACUAGAAAUCAACCACCAUCCUAUGCAUUCAAGGAGCAACAGAAAGGAAGAGUCACAAUAGGGGUCACACCCAGCAAUGACCUGUGUUAGGCCUGCAGCCUGUUCCUCGUGCUUCCUCAUGUUGCCAUACAGAGGCCUAAUGCAGGGGUUUUGGUGUCUUUUCUUCCCUAUGAUAUUCUGCACACACAGAAGAGAAUCUGAUUUUCUUCUCUCUCCCAGUCCCUUAAAUUCUGAAUACUGUACUCAUAUUUCUUGAGUUCCAAGUUGUGAAAAUAAUACCACACUUUUUUUGUCUUCUCACUAACAUGAGGAAAGCCAGGGGGUCCGCACAUGAGACUCCACUGUAAGUCACUGCUAGAUUCCAAAGGGUCAGAGCCAACAACUCUGGAGAGCAUGAGACUUGGGACGCUGCUUGGGUUUUGGUUUCCCCAUGAAUAAAAUGGAAUUGACUGACAGCCAAAGUGCUUUCCAGUUCUCAUAUCUUGAGAUUCUAAAUGAAAGUUUGUCAUUGUCAGCAUGGAUCAGAGGCAGGCUCUUAGAGAUGGCAUGGGGAGUUUUUGGCUUUGCACUGCAUAAGCAUGAAGUCUUGGUGUGAUCUCAGCUUCCCUGAGUAUGUGCAUUCCUGGUCCUUUCUUUGGGUCUCAACCACACCAGAAAAACUAAGACUCAGAGCGAGUACAAAACCAGUUCCGUUUCUGGAAUGGGAAAAUAAACAAGGAGAGAUAUGAAUUACAGUGGAU
rnacentral:lncRNA from 1 species